rnacentral:misc_RNA from 1 species
CUCUAUAAUAAAAACAAAAGGUCGUAGCUGAAGCUCAGGCAGCCAGCUCGCCGAAAUGAAAAAGGAAAAAAAAAUAGCGUAUCGUAUACGGUUUCGGUGGCGACCACCGGUAUAUUGGCAGAAUCUAACAGAGAUAGAGAGUUAGAGACAGAGAGAUAAUUAAAGUGAGAGACUUUGCCCGAGAGAGAGAGAGAGAGGGAGAAGAAGAGAG